rnacentral:lncRNA from 1 species
CUUUGACUCUCUUCGGUGCGGGGUCGGUAGCAGAUGGCUUCAUUUGGUCCUUCCUCUUCCUAUCCUCCACCUUCAUAGGAUUGAACCUUAUUUCUGCAUUAGACAGGCAUUUCAGAAUAAUGAAGACAGAAAAAAGAUGAUAGAGUUGAAGAGUAAAACACUUCGAUCUUACCCCGAGAAGAGUAUAGACUGAUGUUGGUAUCAUACAAUGCUUGAUCAUUUAUCAGAGCAGAUAACUUGGGUGUUUCAAUGGUAAUCAAGGUUGAAUGAGCCACCUCAUUUUCGGAGAGAAUUUCAUCAUUGGAGUUAUAUUUGGUAUCCGGACGUCCCCAAGAAGUCCUAAAAUCUCAUGAAAUUAGAGCCUGGAUGAAGAAAAAAUGACCUUUCUAGUCGUAAAUUGAAGAGAGAAGGCUGGGUCUAAAUUUAUAAUUUUUUUGAAGUAAAAAGUACCACCAAUCCUUCUCACUCAGAUGCCUUUUCAAAAAGACCAAGGAUCUAAAUAGAAAAAUCCUAAGAUCUGUGUGAAGGAAGUUACACAUGAUUAUGAAUACUAUAAUCAUCCUAAUUAUGUGCGGAGUUAUUUGAGUGAAAUAGACCCUAUAAAAAUUAAAGACGUUGCAAAAAAAGGGUGCAGUGAAAAUCGCAGACC